GACGAACGCUGGCGGCGUGCUUAACACAUGCAAGUCGAACGGAAAGGCCUGCUUUCCCUUGUGGAUUGCGGGUACUCGAGUGGCGAACGGGUGAGUAACACGUGAGUGAUCUGCCCCCAACUUGGGUAUAAGCCUGGGAAACUGGGUCUAAUUCCCGAUAGGACUGCAGGGUGGUGCCUGUGGUGGAAAACGAUUUUCUAGUGGUUGGGGAUGAGCUAGCGGCCUAUCAGCUUGUUGGUGGGGUAAUGGCCUACCAAGGCGGCGACGGGUAGCCGGCCCGGGAGGCCAGACCGCGAGAUUGAGACUGAGUUACGUCCCAGCCUCCUACGGCAGGCAGCAGUGGGGAAUAUUGCCGAACGGGCGGAAGCGUGAUGCAGCGACGCCGAGUGGUGGAUGCCGGCAUUCGGGAUGUAAACUCCUUUCGACCGCGAGGAAGCAACCUGGUUGGGAGGGUAGUGACGGUAGUGUCAGAAGAAGCACCGGCUAACUACGUG
rnacentral:rRNA from 1 species